rnacentral:rRNA from 1 species
UACGGGGGGGGCAAGCGUUGUUCGGAAUUACUGGGCGUAAAGGGCUCGUAGGUGGCCAACUAAGUCAGACGUGAAAUCCCCAGGCUCAACUUGGGAACUGCGUCUGAUACUGCUGUGACUUGAGUACGGUAGGGGAGUGGGGAAUUCCUGGUGUAGCGGUGAAAUGCGCAGAUAUCAAGAGGAACACCUGCGGCGAAGGCGGGUUGCUGGGCCGACACUGACGCUGAGGCGCGAAAGCCAGGGGAGCGAACGGG